UGGGGAAUCUUGCGCAAUGGCCGAAAGGCUGACGCAGCGACGCCGCGUGUGGGAGGAAGCUCUUCGGGGUGUAAACCACUGUUGCCCGGGACGAAACGCCGCUUUCGAGCGGCUUGACGGUACCGGGUGAGGAAGCACCGGCUAACUCUGUGCCAGCAGCCGCGGUAAUACAGAGGGUGCGAGCGUUGUCCGGAAUCACUGGGCGUAAAGGGCGCGUAGGCGGUCCAGUAAGCGUGUGGUGAAAGCCCGGGGCUCAACCCCGGGUCGGCCGUGCGAACUGCGGGACUCGAGCACUGUAGAGGCAGGCGGAAUUCCGGGUGUAGCGGUGGAAUGCGUAGAGAUCCGGAAGAACACCGGUGGCGAAGGCGGCCUGCUGGGCAGUAUAGCUGACGCUGAGGCGCGACAGCGUGGGGAGCAAACAGG
rnacentral:rRNA from 1 species